rnacentral:rRNA from 1 species
UACGUAGGGUGCGAGCGUUUAAUCGGAAUUACUGGGCGUAAAGCGCACGUAGGUGGCGACGUAAGUCGGGUGUGAAAGCCCCGGGCUCAACCUGGGAAUUGCAUUCGAGACUGCAUUGCUGGAGUACGGAAGAGGAAGGCGGAAUUCCCGGUGUAGCGGUGAAAUGCGUAGAUAUCGGGAGGAACAUCAGUGGCGAAGGCGGCCUUCUGGUCCAGUACUGACACUUAAGUGCGAAAGCGUGGGGAGCAAACAGG